GUGAGGAAUAUUGGACAAUGGGCGCAAGCCUGAUCCAGCCAUGCCGCGUGCAGGAAGACGCAUCUAUGGUGUGUAAACUGCUUUUGUACGGGAAGAAACACUCCCUCGUGAGGGAGCUUGACGGUACCGUAAGAAUAAGGAUCGGCUAACUCCGUGCCAGCAGCCGCGGUCAUACGGAGGAUCCAAGAGUUAUCCGGAAUCAUUGGGUUUAAAGGGUCCGUAGGCGGUUUAAUAAGUCAGUGGUGAAAGCCCAUCGCUCAACGAUGGAACGGCCAUUGAUACUGUUAGACUUGAAUUACAAGGAAGUAACUAGAAUAUGUAGUGUAGCGGUGAAAUGCUUAGAUAUUACAUGGAAUACCAAUUGCGAAGGCAGGUUACUACUUGUGGAUUGACGCUGAUGGACGAAAGCGUGGGGAGCGAACAGGAUUAGAAACCCCGGUAGUCC
rnacentral:rRNA from 1 species